GUGCUUGCUUCUGCAGCACAUAUGUUAAAACUGGAGUGAUACAGAGAAGAUGGUUGUUGCCCUUUCAUAAGAAUGGCAUACAGAUUCAUGAAGCAUUCCAUAUUUUU